UACCCCCAUCAUCCCCAUCAAGCUUGAAUUUGUUCAGCUUGAGAGAACAAGACUGUUUUAAAUUUUGGUUAAAGGAAAGGGAGAAAGACUUGUACUCCUCCUAAGCUUUUAGAAGUUAGGGAAGGAUAAGUCCGGGUGCUCCAGAGACCCAUGCAAAGGUUUUGCUUGUAAGCAGAGUGGGGUGAGAUACAAAGAUUUGCUUUAGCUAGGAUAAGGAAACACUGGAUACCUGACUCGAUCUCUGAAGUUAAAAAAUGACCUUUCAUUGCAUAAUUUUAGAGCAGAAAUAAAAGAAGGCUUGCAGCUACCGGAAAGUCAUUAAGGCAUUAGUUUCCCUAAGAAGACAGAUCUGAAGAAAAUGCAAGAAAAUGAGAAAAAUAAAAACAAGAUAUCUCUUGCACUUUGCCCCACUUCCCAUUGGGGCUAUCAAUUUGGCUUCCUUGCUUAGAGAGGAUAUCUACUUGAUCCGGGUAAAGAAGUCUCCCUCCGCUUUGCAGUGCAUAGUUUAUGCAACAUACGUCACUCAUACUGAAGGCAAAAACCCCACAAACAUUUCUGUUAAGAUCUAUUUACUUUUCAAAUGCUUUUUACUGAUGAAGUAUUGAGAACUUAAUUUCAGUCUCCCUGUAGCUGCAGGUUAAAAGAACACAAUACAAAUUAGAUAAUCUAACCACAUUUUAGAUUGCAGUGGAAAGUCAGAACAUUGUGCACGUAUGUGUGUAGGAGUUCCUAGUCACAAGGCAGUUUUACAAUAUGAACCAUGAUUGAAAAUGAACUGUGGAAAGUAUAUAUAGAGGGAAAAACAUUUAAAAUACAGUUGACAUAGAGAAUAAAGCUUUAGUUAUUCCAUAUUAAUAUGACUAUGGCUUCAACUUCCUAUGACUUAAAUAGUUUGCUAUGGGAAGUUAUUUUUAAAUCACUUUUAAAUAUAUUAAAAUUUUCAGACAUCCAAGAUUAUGCCACUAGAUCAAAUGAAAACUUUUUAAAAUGUGCUUCAAGGAAUUGAAUAAGUCUUUACAAAAUAUGCAAUUGUCAGUCGAAGAGAUAGUUUUGUGGGGGAUGAGAAAAGGGGGAUGUUGAAAUAAAGUGGAAAGCUUAACCUAAUGCUGUGGUGGCACCAUUGGGCGGUUUUAGUUUAUAUCUCUGUUGUUCAUAGAUCUCUGAGCUAAAACAUGUUCCCACUGAAUUUUAGUUGGAGAUAAAGUUUUCAACUAUCUUCAUCCUUAAAUUUGAUUGACCAAGUAAUGAGAGUGUUAAUAUAAAUUGAAUAUGUAUGAAUGAAUUGUUAGCAUAUUGUUAAUAUAACAAAAUUAAAAUAAAAGAACAUAA